rnacentral:rRNA from 1 species
AUUGAACGCUGGCGGCAGGCCUAACACAUGCAAGUCGAGCGAGCGGCGGGCGGGAGAGAUAUGUGUGGGAAUGUGCCCGAGAGAGGGGGAUAACUACUGGAAACGGUCGCUAAUACCGCAUAAUCACAGAUGACCCCAUGGUGGAUUAGCUAGUGGGUGGGGUAACGGCUCACCAAGGCCACGAUCCAUAGCCGGCCUGAGAGGGUGAUCAGCCACACUGGGACUGAGACACGGUCCAGACUCCGACGGGAGGCAGCAGUGGGGAAUCUUGCACAAUGGGCGAAAGCCUGACAGAGCCAUGCCGCGUGUGUGAAGAAGGUCUUCGGGUUGUAAAGCACUGUCAGCGGGGAGGCGUUACCCGCAGAGGAAGCACCGGCUAACUCCGUGCCAGCAGCCGCGGUAAUUC